rnacentral:rRNA from 1 species
CUACGGGCGGCUGCAGUGAGGAAUUUUGCGCAAUGGGGGAAACCCUGACGCAGCAACGCCGCGUGAGUGAUGAAGGCCUUCGGGUCGUAAAGCUCUGUCAAGUGGGAAGAACCUAUAUAAUGUUAAUAUCAUUGUAUACUGACGGUACCACUGAAGGAAGCACCGGCUACCUCCGUGCCAGCAGCCGCGGUAAUACGGAGGGUGCAAGCGUUAUUCGGAAUUAUUGGGCGUAAAGCGCGCGCAGGCGGCCAGUUAAGUCAGAUGUGAAAGCCCGGGGCUCAACCCCGGAAGUGCAUUUGAAACUAAUUGGCUUGAGUAUGGGAGAGGAAAGUGGAAUUCCUGGUGUAGAGGUGAAAUUCGUAGAUAUCAGGAGGAACACCGGUGGCGAAGGCGACUUCCUGGACCAAUACUGACGCUGAGGCGCAAAGGCGUGGGGAGCAAACAGGAUUAGAUACCCGUGUAGUC